UACGUAGGUGGCAAGCGUUGUCCGGAUUUACUGGGCGUAAAGAGCGCGCAGGCGGUUGGAUAAGUCGAAUGUGAAAGCCCCCGGCUCAACUGGGGAGGGUCAUUCGAUACUGUCCGACUCGAAGGCAGGAGAGGGAAGCGGAAUUCCCGGUGUAGUGGUGAAAUGCGUAGAUAUCGGGAGGAACACCAGUGGCGAAGGCGGCUUUCUGGCCUGUUCUUGACGCUGAGGCGCGAAAGCUAGGGGAGCGAACGGG
rnacentral:rRNA from 1 species